ACCUGCCGACAACACUGGGAUAGCCUUUCGAAAGAAAGAUUAAUACCGGAUGGCAUAGUCUUCCCGCAUGGGAUGAUUAUUAAAGAAUUUCGGUUGUCGAUGGGGAUGCGUUCCAUUAGGCAGUUGGCGGGGUAACGGCCCACCAAACCUACGAUGGAUAGGGGUUCUGAGAGGAAGGUCCCCCACAUUGGAACUGAGACACGGUCCAAACUCCUACGGGAGGCAGCAGUGAGGAAUAUUGGUCAAUGGACGAGAGUCUGAACCAGCCAAGUAGCGUGAAGGAUGACUGCCCUAUGGGUUGUAAACUUCUUUUAUACGGGAAUAAAGUUAGCCACGUGUGGCUUUUUGUAUGUACCGUAUGAAUAAGGAUCGGCUAACUCCGUGCCAGCAGCCGCGGUAAUACGGAGGAUCCGAGCGUUAUCCGGAUUUAUUGGGUUUAAAGGGAGCGUAGGCGGGUUGUUAAGUCAGUUGUGAAAGUU
rnacentral:rRNA from 1 species